rnacentral:rRNA from 1 species
UUUUUCUAUCCGCCUGGGAACUACGAGCAUAAGCUUAAAACCCAAAGGACUUGGCGGUGCUUUAGAUCCACCUAGAGGAGCCUGUUCUAGAACCGAUAACCCCCGUUAAACCUCACCUUUCCUUGUUCUACCCGCCUAUAUACCACCGUCGUCAGCUUAUCCUGUGAAGGAUAACUAAUAAGCAAAAUUGGCACACCCCAAAACGUCAGGUCGAGGUGUAGCGUACGGAGAGGGAAGAAAUGGGCUACAUUCUCUAUCUAGAGAACACGAACGAUAAACUGAAAGACAUAUCUGAAGGAGGAUUUAG